rnacentral:siRNA from 1 species
AUACAGAAUCUGAACUUUCACGCC